AUCAUUACACAAUAACCAGGCGGGCUGGACACCCCCCGCUGGGCACUGCUUCACGGCGUGCGCGGCGGGGCCGGCCCUGCUGAAUUAUUCACCCGUGUCUUUUGCGUACUUCUUGUUUCCUGGGUGGGCUCGCCCGCCCUCAGGACCAACCACAAACCUUUUGCAAUAGCAAUCAGCGUCAGUAACAACGUAAUUAAUUACAACUUUCAACAACGGAUCUCUUGGUUCUGGCAUCGAUGAAGAACGCAGCGAAAUGCGAUACGUAGUGUGAAUUGCAGAAUUCAGUGAAUCAUCGAAUCUUUGAACGCACAUUGCGCCCUUUGGUAUUCCAAAGGGCAUGCCUGUUCGAGCGUCAUUUGUACCCUCAAGCUUUGCUUGGUGUUGGGCGUCUUUUGUCUCCAGUUCGCUGGAGACUCGCCUUAAAGUCAUUGGCAGCCGGCCUACUGGUUUCGGAGCGCAGCACAAGUCGCGCUCUUUGCCAGCCAAGGUCAGCGUCCAGCAAGCCUUUUUUUCAACCUUUGA
rnacentral:rRNA from 1 species